rnacentral:rRNA from 1 species
UACGUAGGGUGCAAGCGUUAAUCGGAAUUACUGGGCGUAAAGCGUGCGCAGGCGGUGAUGUAAGACAGGUGUGAAAUCCCCGGGCUCAACCUGGGAACUGCAUCUGUGACUGCAUUGCUGGAGUGCGGCAGAGGGGGAUGGAAUUCCGCGUGUAGCAGUGAAAUGCGUAGAUAUGCGGAGGAACACCGAUGGCGAAGGCAAUCCCCUGGGCCUGCACUGACGCUCAUGCACGAAAGCGUGGGGAGCAAACAGG